UACGGAGGGUGCAAGCGUUGUUCGGAUUUACUGGGCGUAAAGCGCGCGCAGGCGGGUUUACAAGUCAGAUGUGAAAUCUCAGGGCUUAACCCUGAAACUGCGUCUGAAACUGUAGACCUAGAAUAUCAUAGGGGGUAGGGGAAUUUCACGUGUAGGGGUAAAAUCCGUAGAGAUGUGAAGGAACACCGGUGGCGAAGGCGCCUGCCUGGAUGAUUAUUGACGCUGAGGCGCGAAAGCGUGGGGAGCAAACAGG
rnacentral:rRNA from 1 species